rnacentral:lncRNA from 1 species
CCCCACACCCCUGUGACGCCGUGUCCCCGUGUCCAUCUGUCCCCGCUUCCACGUGUCCCCACGUCUCACAUCCACACGUCCCCGUGACCCCGCAUCCUACAUCCCCACAUCUCGUGUCCCCAUGUCCUUCUGUCCCUGUGUCCUUCUGUCCCCAUGUCCCAUGUCCCCAUGUCCCAUGUCCCCACGUCCUUCAGCACCAUGUCCCCACACCCCUGUCACCCUGUGUCCCAUGUCCCUGUAUCCCAUAUCCCCAUGUCCAUCUGUCCCCACGUCCUUCUGUCCCCGUGUCCCAUGUCCCCAUGUCCCCAUGUCCUUCUGUCCCACAUCCCCACGUCCCACACCCGCACUCCACCCCCCCCACCCCUCCCCUAUAGGGCGCACAUCCCCAAAGCGAUGCACACAGCACCUCGCCGCCCCAAAAGGAACGGGACCGCAGCGGGGCGCUGCCCCAUAGGAGCACACAUCAUCGCCCCCCAUAGCGGCAGGCAUCGCCCCCCAUAGCGGGGUGUGGGGCGGAGGGAUGCUGCCCCAUAGAUGCAGCUGCCCCAUAGAUGCAGCUGCCCCAUAGAUGCAGCAGCCCCAGCGGCAGCCGCCCACCCCUGCGGCACCGCAGCGCUGCAGCACCGGCCCAC